rnacentral:rRNA from 1 species
CUGAAUAUACUGUGAGAACGAAAGUUCUUGCUUUUAACUAGAUAACAACUUUCAGCAGUGGAUGUCUAGGCUCGCACAUCGAUGAAGAACGCUGCGAACUGCGAUACGUAAUGCGAAUUGCAGAAUUCAGUGAGUCAUCGAAAUUUUGAACGCAUAUUGCACUUCCGGGUUAUACCUGGAAGUAUGUCUGUAUCAGUGUCCGUAAAUCAAACUUGCGUUUCUUCCUUCCGUGUAGUCGGUGGAGGAGAGUUGCAGAUGUGAAGUGUCUCGCUGUGGUUGGUGUUUGUUGUUUGCAAUGAAUGCACAGCUUGCGAGUCCUUUUAAAUGGACACGACUUUCUCUUUUUUGUAUGUGCGCGGUGCUGUGCGUGAACGCGGUGGUUUUCGGAUCGCUCGCGGCUGUCGGCGACUUCGGUGAAUGCAUAAUGGAGUGGACCUCGAUUCGCGGUAUGUUGGGCUUCGGCUGGACAAUGUUGCUUAUUGUGUGUCUGUUCCGCGUUCGCCUUGAGGUGUACUGGUGGCUGUGGGAUUGAACUGGUUACUGUUGUUAGUAGUGUGUGUGGCACGUUGUCGUGGAUGCAUCUGUCUUUUUGUUGUUGCAUACUUUAUGUGUGUGUGCAGUUGAGGGCAGAAGAGAAGUCUCAAUUUGGGAAAAGUUU